GGCGGCGUGCCUAAUACAUGCAAGUCGAACGAGUUCUGAUUAUUGAAAGGUGCUUGCAUCUUGAUUUUAAUUUUGAACGAGUGGCGGACGGGUGAGUAACACGUGGGUAACCUGCCCUUAAGUGGGGGAUAACAUUUGGAAACAGAUGCUAAUACCGCAUAAAUCCAAGAACCGCAUGGUUCUUGGCUGAAAGAUGGCGUAAGCUAUCGCUUUUGGAUGGACCCGCGGCGUAUUAGCUAGUUGGUGAGGUAACGGCUCACCAAGGCAAUGAUACGUAGCCGAACUGAGAGGUUGAUCGGCCACAUUGGGACUGAGACACGGCCCAAACUCCUACGGGAGGCAGCAGUAGGGAAUCUUCCACAAUGGACGCAAGUCUGAUGGAGCAACGCCGCGUGAGUGAAGAAGGCUUUCGGGUCGUAAAACUCUGUUGUUGGAGAAGAAUGGUCGGCAGAGUAACUGUUGUCGGCGUGACGGUAUCCAACCAGAAAGCCACGGCUAACUACGUGCCAGCAGCCGCGGUAAUACGUAGGUGGCAAGCGUUAUCCGGAUUUAUUGGGCGUAAAGCGAGCGCAGGCGGUUUUUUAAGUCUGAUGUGAAAGCCCUCGGCUUAACCGAGGAAGUGCAUCGGAAACUGGGAAACUUGAGUGCAGAAGAGGACAGUGGAACUCCAUGUGUAGCGGUGAAAUGCGUAGAUAUAUGGAAGAACACCAGUGGCGAAGGCGGCUGUCUGGUCUGUAACUGACGCUGAGGCUCGAAAGCGUGGGUAGCGAACAGGAUUAGAUACCCUGGUAGUCCAUGCCGUAAACGAUGAAUGCUAGGUGUUGGAGGGUUUCCGCCCUUCAGUGCCGCAGCUAACGCAUUAAGCAUUCCGCCUGGGGAGUACGACCGCAAGGUUGAAACUCAAAGGAAUUGACGGGGGCCCGCACAAGCGGUGGAGCAUGUGGUUUAAUUCGAAGCAACGCGAAGAACCUUACCAGGUCUUGACAUCUUUUGAUCACCUGAGAGAUCAGGUUUCCCCUUCGGGGGCAAAAUGACAGGUGGUGCAUGGUUGUCGUCGGCUCGUGUCGUGAGAUGUUGGGUUAAGUCCCGCAACGAGCGCAACCCUUAUGACUAGUUGCCAGCAUUUAGUUGGGCACUCUAGUAAGACUGCCGGUGACAAACCGGAGGAAGGUGGGGAUGACGUCAAAUCAUCAUGCCCCUUAUGACCUGGGCUACACACGUGCUACAAUGGAUGGUACAACGAGUUGCGAGACCGCGAGGUCAAGCUAAUCUCUUAAAGCCAUUCUCAGUUCGGACUGUAGGCUGCAACUCGCCUACACGAAGUCGGAAUCGCUAGUAAUCGCGGAUCAGCACGCCGCGGUGAAUACGUUCCCGGGCCUUGUACACACCGCCCGUCACACCAUGAGAGUUUGUAACACCCGAAGUCGGUGGCGUAACCCUUUUAGGGAGCGAGCCGUCUAAGGUGGGACAAAUGAUUAGGGUG
rnacentral:rRNA from 1 species